UAAAAUGUAACAAUCAUGAUUAUUUAAAUAAUAUGGUUUAAUAUUUUAUUAGUUGUGGUAUUUUUAUUAAUUGUGGUACUCGGUUGAUGAUUUUACUUUUCAACAUUCUAUUAAUAAUAAUAUAUUAUCCUUAUGUUAAACUAAAUAUAAUCAAAUUUUAAUAUUCACUAAACAAGGCAUUAAUCAAGUUAAAUGUAAAAUUGUCCAUUAGGGACUCAAAUACAAACAUGGAAAUGGGAUUGUGCCCACCGGAGUAAUAGAUUAAGGAUCUACUUGGUAUAUUUCUAAUAGAAUGAGGAUUCGUACUAGAACUUCUUCAAUUGUCCACGUGAGUCGAAAGUGGAACUCCAUGUGCCUCCUUGCACACACUAGUAGUAAAGCAAAAUCCAAGCCCUGGGAUACUGACAACUGACAAGCUCUCCCUCCCACAUUCCUUACAAAUGCUUCCUAUAAACUCCCGUCUCUACUGCCUAGUUUCAUUGCUAAAAAAGUCUGUCUCAAGAUCUUGAAAUAAUCAUGUUCCCAGCUUUAGUGCUUUUCCUUGCCAUAGCUCGAAAUUUAGGCAAGCAAGCUCUAGUAUCCUGUUUUAUUGUCUUUUCUAGAGCUUAUUCUUUACUGUAAUUUUCAAAUUUUAUUUUGCAAAUGCUGCAUAUUAUUGCAUUUGCAAGCACGGGUUGAGCAAUGUGAUUUACCAGAAGAACAUUGACUAUGCAUGUGGAGCUAGAGCAUAUUGUACUCCAAUUACGCAAAAUGGCCCCUGUUUUCAGCCAAAUACUGUGAAGGAUCACUGCAAUUUUGCUGUAAAUAGCUAUUACCAAAGAAAUGGGCAGGUUACUGGGAGUUGUAGCUUCUCAAACACUGUCACUCUAGCUCAAGACCCACCUUGUAAGUGUCCUCUUACACCCAAAAGCAGAAUAAUUAUAUCUUGAAUGAUGCCAACUUUUCUUUAAUUCAUAGUUGCAAUUUCAAAAAUUAUAUAUCCAUCCAUGCCCAGGUGUCCUUUUUCCUAAAUCUUUUGAUCCAUUCGGAGCUUAAUCUUUCAAGUUUGUGCCAGAACACGUAUAUGAUUGUUUUGUUAUCUAUGAAAAGAACUGAGAGACAAUUUUUUAUUUUUCCCAUUACAAUCUAUUGGCUAAUAUGUACAGAGCUGUCGAGAAACCCAUCAUCCAUUUCUCCCUCUCAAUUAAAAUCACUCUUGCAACCGGCUUAGUGGUAAUGGUAAUAGGCCUCCUAAAGCUAUAUCAAAGGUAUUAUUUUGUAAGAGUUGCAUAUUUGGUAAAAGGUUCAGGAAAGCUGUAGUUUCUCAAAUACUGCCACUUGUAAACUUCCCCAAACACCCAAAAGCAAAUUUCUAUCUCAAAUAAUGCUAAGUUUUGUACCCAUCUGCUCUGUUUUUGUGUUUAUUUGGAUCAUUUAUAGGUGUAAUUGUAGAAUGUUGGCAUCCAUCUAGUUCUUUACCUCUUAAAGAAACUUAAUCUUUCAAUUUAUUCAGAAGUAAUGCUUAAUUUAAUUUGUUUCUAAUACUAAGUUAUUCCCCGUUAUGGUCUACUUGCAGAUUUGUAGCCAAAUUGAAUAACAGUCAUUGUAAUUGUAUGUAUAGUUGGGAAUUUGUUUCACAAUCCUAAACAUCGUUCCUCUUAUUUUAACUCUUAAUCUGAUGUAGAAAAUUCUUAUUCUAUUCAGCUUCUUUCAUGUAUAUGCUGAAACCAGUGCAUGAAUGUUUUGUAAUUAACAAGUAGAGCUAUAUUUAUAAAAUUCUACAUUUUCCUCUUUACCAUCUUCCAUGUGUGAUUUUUGUAUAUAAUUCUUAAUUUUUAAAUUACUCACUAAUGUAUACAGAGCUAUGGACUUGCCCAACCAACAACCAGUCAUCCAUAUCUCUCUCUUAGUUAAAAUCACUCUCGCGACCGACUUAAUACUAAUAGCAAUAUGCCUCUAUAAGCUGUUUCGAAGGUAUUGGCCGAGAAGGACCUACUUGAAUGAAGAGGAGAGCCACGAAGAAGAAGCUGGAAAUAAUCAUAAUGGACCAACGGAAGAUAUUGAGCUUAGCAUUACUUGAAAGUGAGCAGGGUUUGGGAAUUCUAAGAAUUGACGUACUAAUCAAUUAUGGUGAAGCUUUAGACAUUUUUAAUGAAUGACAUGUUGUGUUAUAGUCCAUUCAUACUUGAAUAUUUCAGGGUAUGUGAAUUUCACAAUGUAGAACAUAUAUAUUUGGAAAAUUUUCAGCAUUUUUAGUUUUGUAUUUAGGAGAAAAUCGAAACAAUAAACCAAAACAUUUUAAGGUAUGUAUGCUCA
rnacentral:lncRNA from 1 species